AUUGAACGCUGGCGGCAUGGCUAAAACAUGCAAGUCGAACGUGCCCGCAAGGGCAAGUGGCGAAAGGGUCAGUAAUGCGAUCGAACGUACCCUGAGGGCGGGGGAGUAGGGCGAGGGAAACUUGCCAUAACUACCCCAUGAUGUCUACGGACCAAAGGCCAAACCUUAAAAUUGGGCACCUUGGGAGCGGCGAUCGUCCUAUCAGCUAGUUGGCGGGGUAACGGCCCACCAAGGCGAAGACGGGUAGCAGGUGUGAGAGCACGACCUGCGACAUCGGAACUGAGACACUGUCCGGACUCCUACGGGAGGCUGCAGUAACGAAUCUUCCGCAAUGGGCGAAAGCCUGACGGAGCAAUGCCGCGUGUGGGAUGAAGCGGCUACGCCGUGUAAACCACUGUCGAGGGGGC
rnacentral:rRNA from 1 species